AUUGAACGCUGGCGGCAGGCCUAACACAUGCAAGUCGAACGAGUGGCGGACGGGUGAGUCAUGUCUGGGAAACUGCCCGAUGGAGGGGGAUAACUACUGGAAACGGUAGCUAAUACCGCAUACCAUCGGAUCUGCCCAGAUGGGAUUAGCUAGUAGGUGGGGUAAAGGCUCACCUAGGCGACGAUCCCUAGCUGGUCUGCGAGGGUGACCGGCCACACUGGAACUGAGACACGGUCCAGACUCCUACGGGAGGCAGCAGUGGGGAAUAUUGCACAAUGGGCGAAAGCCUGAUGCAGCCAUGCCGCGUGUGUGAAGAAGGCCUUCGGGUUGUAAAGCACUUUCAGCGGGGAGGCGUUACCCACAGAAAAAGCACCGGCUAACUCCGUGCCAGCAGCCGCGGUAAUUC
rnacentral:rRNA from 1 species